rnacentral:rRNA from 1 species
AUGAACGCUAGCGACAGGCCUAACACAUGCAAGUCGAGGGGCAGCACAAGGAGCAAUCUGAGGUGGCGACCGGCGCACGGUGAGUAACACGUAUGCAACCUGCCUGUAAGCGGGGAAUAACCCGUUGAAAGACGGACUAAUACCGCAUAAUACUAAAUUACUGCAUGGUAAUUUAUUUAAACAUUUAUGGCUUACAGAUGGGCAUGCGCAUGAUUAGCUAGUUGGAGAGGUAACGGCUCCCCAAGGCAACGAUCAUUAGGGGUUCUGAGAGGAAGGUCCCCCACACUGGUACUGAGACACGGACCAGACUCCUACGGGAGGCAGCAGUGAGGAAUAUUGGUCAAUGGACGAGAGUCUGAACCAGCCAAGUCGCGUGCAGGAAGAAUGUCCUAUGGAUUGUAAACUGCUUUUGCAGGGGAAUAAAGUGCAUCACGUGUGAUGUUUUGUAUGUACUCUGCGAAUAAGGAUCGGCUAACUCCGUGCCAGCAGCUGC